GCUGGGUGUGGUGGCAUACACCUGUAAUCCCAGUGACUCAGGAGGCUGAGGCAGGAGGAUUGCAAGUUCAAAAUCAGUCUCAGCAAUUUAUCGAGGCCCUAAACAAGACCCUGUCUGAA
rnacentral:sRNA from 1 species